UUGAUAUUAAAACUAGCCACAAGGUCAUUUUUUACCAAGCAACAAAGUUUAUAAAUUUAACUGGUCCAGCAAACAGGUUUCAUUUAACUUGACAUGAUCUAAUCAAAAUCCAAAUUUCAAUAGCAUCAAGAACAUCAUAAGCUUCAUGGCAUGAAGAAUCUAAUGGUAAUGACUCCAUAAAUCUGUUGAAUUUCCCGACUUCAACGCAAAGAUAUGCUUAUAGGUAGUGAUAUGGCAAGUGCCUGUGUGUUGAGUAAUACAGAUGGACAUUGCUGCUUCCGCAUCUCCUGAAGGAUAUUUAACUUCAUAAGGAGAACAAUCUCCACCAUUAUGAUUGUGAUACUUUGUAAAGAUAUCAGGUCCAAUUGGAUUCACCUUCUAGAUAUAAUGAACAACUUGGCAGAAAAACUAAUAAGAUGUCAACAGGAGGUCCUCACCACAAGGUUCCUCAACCUUCUUCUAGAAGAAAAUAGCAAGUUCAUUCUUCCAAAUGUUGUAAUUAAUUGAAAUCAUUUGGCUUCCCAAUUUUGAUGUUCUGCUCUCCUAGAAAUCCUGUAAUAGCAUUUUUCUGCCAGCUCUUGAAACUCUUGUGAUCAAGAUGUGCCAAAAUUUCCCCACCAGGGAAAGCUGAUUUGGUAGCCUCAUAGGCAGCUUUAAUUGAUUCUCUCCAAGUUCCACCAAUAUCUUUUGUAUUUGUAUCUAUUUUUGUCUGAUUUGGAUCUUCCAUGGGUAAAGAAUACCCUGAGAGCAGGUGUGCCACCCAAACACCAUCUUUUAGAACUAUAUCCAUAUGCCGAGGUGCAUAGUGUCCGCCACCUAUUCCAAGAAGGACCUUUCUCUUGUCAUUUGCGCUGCUCCAGUUACCUACUGAGGCACCUCCUCCAAGCCCAAGUCCUUCCCAUACUAAUAGAGCAACGACUUGAGCAGCAUCCUGCCUCUCCCAGUAUUCUUCUGUGCUACCUAUUUCAAUGAACAUAGUUGGCUUACUGGUCACUGGUCCAUGAUGAGUAGCCUCCAAAGUAAUCUCAAACUCAGGAACUAAAUUAUGAGAAUGGGCAAUUUUUUUCAAGAGUCUGAGCCAUGGACCCAUUCUCGGAUCAGGAGGUGCAGCCCAUCCUGGCUUUCCGCCUUGUGGCGGGACGUCCCCUUCUCGCAAAUGAGGCACUCCAAUUGGAUGAAUGGUAAGGGCAGGGCGGUUAGAAACGGCGGUGUGUUUGCUGAAAAAGAUAACUUCAUCCACCACCUCACCGGUGGCCGCCUCCCAUCGCUGAUCCAAGUCGUCCUCUACCACAAUGCUUUUGUCGUGUAGCAAUAGCCUCACUUGUUGAUUGCUGAAACUCUUCAUUUCCUGGAGGGAGGAGGUAGGUUGCCACCCGGGCAUGGCCAGGAGGGCGGAGGCAGGGUUGAUGGAGGCGGGAUCGCCGGUGGUGGCCACCAAUAGAGUCACCAUAUUCUUUUCCUUUUUCUCUGUAAAUGAUAUUUUGAUUAUUUUCUUCGUUUUCGCUUCUGGGUAGCCUUUAUAAAAGACUCAGCAGCCAGCACCCACUGGUUGUGGAUUCUCGUAAAAACGCCCCUAGAUUUGACGAUUGUCGAUCCACCGUCGGUACGACAAGAC
rnacentral:misc_RNA from 1 species